rnacentral:rRNA from 1 species
AUUGAACGCUGGCGGCAUGCCUUACACAUGCAAGUCGAACGGCAGCACGGGUGCUUGCACCUGGUGGCGAGUGGCGAACGGGUGAGUAAUACAUCGGAACAUGUCCUGUAGUGGGGGAUAGCCCGGCGAAAGCCGGAUUAAUACCGCAUACGAUCUACGGAUGAAAGCGGGGGACCUUCGGGCCUCGCGCUAUCGGGUUGGCCGAUGGCUGAUUAGCUAGUUGGUGGGGUAAAGGCCUACCAAGGCGACGAUCAGGAGCUGGUCUGAGAGGACGACCAGCCACACUGGGACUGAGACACGGCCCAGACUCCUACGGGAGGCAGCAGUGGGGAAUUUUGGACAAUGGGCGAAAGCCUGAUCCAGCAAUGCCGCGUGUGUGAAGAAGGCCUUCGGGUUGUAAAGCACUUUUGUCCGGAAAGAAAUCCUUGGCCCUAAUACGGUCGGGGGAUGACGGUACCGGAAGAAUAAGUACCGGCUAACUACGUG